GUACAAGGUGAAAGUGAAAUAGCAGCAGCAAACGUCAACAAAAGGAAGAAAUUGGCGCCUUUCACUGACGCUAUGUUAAAAGCUUUCGUUCGCGCCAGCGGUAGUACGUUCGCUCUUUUUUAUUCCGAACGUCGAUCAAGCCAGAAGUGUAUGAAGUGUUAAGUUCAACUUGUCGAAAUAAAAAAAAAAAAAAGUCAAAUUUUCUUCCGCUGGCAAGAAAGCAAAUGCUUGUGCCUUUUGUGGGAAAAAAAAUAAAGUUCACAAAUUAAAUUCAAAAGAGUGUAAUUGUUCUGUUUAACCGCUUUGAAGGGUACAACCAUCAAAGCCGCUAAAAUAUUUGCGGAAGAAGUAUCAGACCUCGGGCCUUGAUCAGCUGUCUGCAACAACAAACCUUGCCUGGGACUUCCACUCGGUCGGCCGCAGUGCCUAGAGGGAGAAUAAACGGCAGGAAAAAAAGAAGAGAGCAACUUCCAGGCUAGCUUUCCCGUCCACUCAACACCCGGCAGCUUCUACUUUAAUUUGGGAGUGUAGAAAAGGCGGCUAUAGCGACCAAACGUCGGCGGGGGCGCGACCCUUUUUAAAUCGGCGACCAAACGUUAAAAUAAGUAUCGGAACUCGCCCGGAGGUGUUACCCAUUUUUUUCCUUAAUUUUUUUAUUGUUGGUGUCGGUUUAGUGCCCGAAAAAAAGUAAAAAUCCCGAGUAAAUUCGGGUAAGAGUGUAGUGGCGCGCAAGCGCCGAAGAAGCCGUAUGCCGGCGUAUUAGUAUUUAUAAGGUUAGGCUAGUUUUUUUAUAUAUGUUAAUUUGUCCAAAUCAGUGGCAAAAUUUUAUUUGAAGUGCUCGUGAUAUGUAUGGUUUUAAUUGUUAAGCCACUGUUUUAUUUUUGCAUUUUUUUUUUUUCGUGUUGCCUUAUUCCGUAAUUCGGAAGGCACCAAUUUUUUUUAGUGAGAACGUGAGAGCGAUUAAUGGUUCUCUCUCGCGCUUGUGCGCUUUACUUUGCUUCCCGCGGUUUUUUUUUUGUUUGCGCGCUCUUAUUCCAGCGCGGUGUCUUUUUUUACAGCUACGCUCGUUCCAGACGGAAAGCGCUUUCUGCGUGGGAUCAGCAGCCCAGCCGAAUAUUGUAAAGCGUAGCUAAAGAGAGUAUUGAAGGAAAACAAAACAAAUCAAUCAACAGUGAGGAUACGCUGCGACACAAUUAACAAGGAAGACAGAUAUACAGAUAAACAGAUAAACACAUUAAGGGAAUACUUGCAGAAGGCAUGCAACCGAUUGUUGGCCAAGCCAUAAAAGCACGGCGCCUGGAACAGGUACAACGCAUCCUGUGGUGGCAUUUUUGUCUCCCCAUAAUAAAUGUAACGCAACAACGAAUGGAAUGCCUCCAAUGAUGGCGAGAUUUCUCCAAUUUGUAUCUGUGUACGAAAAGAUUGUGUGUGAGAGAGAAAGAGAGAGAGUGAGCACAUGAAAGAAAAAGAGAGGCAGGCCAUACAGCCGCUUUCAGUCUAUGUGAGCCGCCAUGUGUAGUGAAACAUAGAACGAUUAUGUAUCUCCUAUACCAACAGAUACAUAAGUGACCUGAGUUCUAAUGUAGAAUUCUUCUUGAAGUUCCCCAAAGUGUAACAAAUUGUAUACUAGCCACCAAAAUGUGGAGGUAUCAAUAAAAAAAACUACAAAUGUACAAGUUUCUUAACUGUUUUCUGAUAAACAAAAGAGCUUCUGCUUGUAAAACUCUUUUCUAUGACACCUUUUAGGUAUGGUCCGCCGAUUUGGGUAAAACAAUAAAAUACGGAGAGACAUUAUGAAACACUUAUAAAUACGCUAAGAUGGAACAAUAUCUCGUACUAAGAUGGAUUUUUUCCCCGAUCAUUUCUAUGACAGCUACAUAAUAUAGUGCACCGAUUUUGAUAAUACUUCAAAUGAAUUUAAGACACUACGCAAAACUCAUAAAUACCAACAUUGCUUGAGACAUCUUUAUGAAGGAGAAAGUUAUUCUACUAAAAGCGUUUUUGCACCGAUUUUUCCAAUGGCAGCAAUAAAAUGCGUCUAUAUAAGCUGUAAUGGUGCAAAAGUUCUCGGUGUUCAUACUGACGAACGAAAAAUCGAUUUCGUCAUGCUGAUUAUAUCCUUCUGGCAGUUAAACAAAUUUUGCGUUUGGACUUUCUAGUAUAGCUUUUAAGCCCUUGAGCACCUCUGUAAAUAGUAAUUGCAUAGUAUCUAAAAGAAUCUAGACUGACCCCAAGCAGUAAGUAGCCUAGAAUAAAGCAUAAAAUAAUGUUUCUUUUCUACAAUUUAAACAUAGCACAAUAACGAGGCAUUGUAACUUUUUUAAUACAUCACUUAAUUCUGGGAGAUAAAGCAACACUACACAUGCUGGCUAAAUUUUAUUUUCUAAAUUGUAUAUUAUAACAAA